GAGUUUGAUCGUGGCUCAGAUUGAACGCUGGCGGCAUGCCUUACACAUGCAAGUCGAGCGGCAGCGCGGGGGCAACCCUGGCGGCGAGCGGCGAACGGGUGAGUAAUGCAUCGGAACGUGUCCUCUUGUGGGGGAUAACCAGUCGAAAGACUGGCUAAUACCGCAUGAGAUCGAGAGAUGAAAGCAGGGGACCGCAAGGCCUUGCGCGAGAGGAGCGGCCGAUGCCGGAUUAGCUAGUUGGUGGGGUAACGGCCUACCAAGGCGACGAUCCGUAGCUGGUCUGAGAGGACGACCAGCCACACUGGGACUGAGACACGGCCCAGACUCCUACGGGAGGCAGCAGUGGGGAAUUUUGGACAAUGGGGGCAACCCUGAUCCAGCCAUGCCGCGUGUGUGAAGAAGGCCUUC
rnacentral:rRNA from 1 species